rnacentral:rRNA from 1 species
GAUGAACGCUGGCGGCGUGCCUAAUACAUGCAAGUCGAGCGAACAGACGAGGAGCUUGCUCCUCUGACGUUAGCGGCGGACGGGUGAGUAACACGUGGAUAACCUACCUAUAAGACUGGGAUAACUUCGGGAAACCGGAGCUAAUACCGGAUAAUAUAUUGAACCGCAUGGUUCAAUAGUGAAAGACGGUUUUGCUGUCACUUAUAGAUGGAUCCGCGCCGCAUUAGCUAGUUGGUAAGGUAACGGCUUACCAAGGCAACGAUGCGUAGCCGACCUGAGAGGGUGAUCGGCCACACUGGAACUGAGACACGGUCCAGACUCCUACGGGAGGCAGCAGUAGGGAAUCUUCCGCAAUGGGGGAAAGCUUGACGGAGCAACGCGGCGUGAGUGAUGAAGGUCUUCGGAUCGUAAAACUCUGUUAUUAGGGAAGAACAAAUGUGUAAGUAACUAUGCACGUCUUGACGGUACCUAAUCAGAAAGCCACGGCUAACUACGUG